rnacentral:lncRNA from 1 species
AGAAUUAGACGAUAUUGAUGAAUCUGUUAUUAAUUUUUUGUUGGUACCUCUUGGUGGCUUAUGGGAUGCAUCUAAUGCAAAUGAAAAAACACCAAAUGACUAUGGGUGCAUUAAGUUAGAUUUUAUUGGAGAAACAGAUGAUGCUUUUGGAGAAACAGAUGAUGAUUUUGAAGAAACAGAUGAUGAAUUUGGAGAAAAUAUGAAAUUUGGAGUUCGUUUGUUGUAUAAAAAUGAAUCUGAGCUUUGCAUUGGGAAAAGGAAGAGUAGAUAUGAAGAAGAGGCCACUUGCUCCUCUUCUAAGAAACU